rnacentral:lncRNA from 1 species
UCUUUCGAAAAGUCCUUUCUUCAAGCAUGGCAAGAGUCCUCCAGCACCAAGUUCAAAUGAUAUCUCAUGUACAUUAAAUAAUCAAGACUUUGAACUAUUGGAAAUCACACAAGACACCCACACAAAUUUCCCAGAGGAAACUGUAAAACGAACUCAGGAAAAGAAAACAUUCCGGUUCAUGAGCUUAAUUUUAACAGUCCUCCUAACACGCAAGCUGUGAAAAAAGCUAGAACAGCUGAAUUUAUCAAUUCUCUUCCAUCAAUCUUUGAAGAGGAUAUCAAUCCAAGUCAUGAAAAUGCAGAGCAAAAAUCGUCAAACAGCGCACAUGAUAAGCUCAGAGAAGCUCACAUGACCACGUGUUUUGGCGAAUUAGCAUCCUCCAUUGGUCACUCCCUUGUAAUUCUGAGGAAGAAACGUUAUGGAAAAAUCAACUACAAUCAGGAC